rnacentral:rRNA from 2 species
AGCACUUUGAAGAGAGAGUUCAAGAGUACGUGAAACCGUUUAGGGGUAAACCUGAGAAACCCGAAAGGUCGAAGGGAGAAAUUCAUUCGCGGCUCGUAGUAGGCGGCGUGCGAUCGCGUGACACGUGACGUUUCGGCGUUGCGCGCGCCUUUCGUACGUCGAUCCGGCGACGAACGCGUGCACUUUUCUCCUUGUAGGACGUCGCGAUCCGUUGGGCGUCGGCUUAAGGCUCGAGGUGGAGACCGUAGACGGCGGUUCGCGCCGUUUUCGUUUACGGACCCUCGUGUUCGCGGUCGACUCGCUCGACGGUAUACCGAAUGGUUUAAGGCCGCUACUCGUUAGCGUUCGGCUCGUCGCAAGCGCGUCAGAUGCACGUCGGUAAUCGGACCCGGUGCCGUUUCCGACCUCUGAUGACUGUUGGCGACGAAGUUCUCGAACAGACCUAGACCGAUCGGCGACGCUAUAGCUUUGGGUACUUUCAGGACCCGUCUUG